AAGAACCUGAACCUGACUGGCAGACACAUUAUGUCAGAAUAAUUAGAUCAUGCGAUGAUUACUUGGUGGCAAGGCGAUGGUUAACAAAAUAUAUGUCCUGUGACACAUCUGAUCUCCAUUCAGAAGAGGAGGCAAGUUCUAAAAGGAGAAAGCCAAUGCCUGUCCAUUUCUUUGGGGACUCGGAUGCAGACAGCGAGACUGAAAAUCGCCACCCCAAAAAAAAAAAGGGUCCAACCACUAGCAGGACAGUUGCCCCUCCUCCAACUAUUGUCCCAUCUCCUCCACAGACUUCAUCACCAGCAGGACAGCGAACAAGCCAUGCAGGGUACACACCAACCUGGCGAGGGGCGAGGUGUGGUUCAGACACCAUUGCCUGCUGUGCUGCUCAAGUUCAAAUGAUGGCCAUGCUGGAGACGCUUACACAGCAGGUCCAUCAAUUAACACAGCAGGUCCAUCAAUUAACUUCCAAAAUUGACAGCUUUGUUCGCCCCAGCGUGACACAAAUGUCUGGUCAAGAAGUGGAGUGGAGAGACCCGUUUCCGUUGACCACAAUGGAGGAAGUGGACAUGUUUGAGCAACAGCUCAAAGAUCCAGCCAACGCUUUAAUGAAGAAGAGUGUGACUUCAUCACCAGCAGGACAGCGAACAAGCCAUGCAGGGUACACACCAACCUGGCGAGGGGCGAGGUGUGGUUCAGACACCAUUGCCUGCUGUGCUCAAAGAUCCAGCCAACGCUAUAAUGAAGGAGAGUGAUUUCCUCCCUGGGAACAAUCGGAGGACAUGAUGUAAAACGUGCAACGUGGAACAUCCUCGCACGCAUGUUCACUGAUGAUGUUGGCAAGUCCAUAAAUUGGAAAGGGAUUCAUGGAAAAAAAUCUUUCAAUCUAAUGACGUCCAAGACUUUGCUCCUGCGUGAAUGUUACUCAACUAUACCUUUACAUAAUAGUUAUAUGAUAUAUUAGCUCUAUGGAGUGGAGAUGGUCAGCUGCUUCAGGUUCCUCGGGGUCAACAUCAGCAACGACCUCACCUGGUCUGCUCACACAGACAAGGUGGUCAGCGGCCAAGAAGCGCCUCUUCUUCCUGAGGAGACUGAAGAAGUUUGGCAUGGAUUCAGUCAUCCUCACCAAUUUCUACAGAUGCACAAUAGAAAGCAUCCUGACUGGGUGCAUCACAGUGUGGGAGCUGCACAGCCAAGGACCGCAAGGCCCUACGCAGUGUGGUCAGGACUGCGGAGUUCAUCAUCGAUGCUGUCAGAAAGAAUCACUCAACACAUGCGUCCACUGACGACCAGGUUCUUAAGCACGCCAUUCGGUGGUUCAACCUGGCAGCAGACCGGGGUAGCUCCAGGAGGCGUGCUACUGUAGACGUCCCCCACACUGAACAGACUUAAAAUAUAUCUUUUUUAAAUGUGUGUGUAUAUAAAUUUGUCCUUUCAAAUAAAAAACUGUUUGACAUUA